GACGAACGCUGGCGGCGUGCUUAACACAUGCAAGUCGAACGGAAAGGCCCUGCUUUUGUGGGGUGCUCGAGUGGCGAACGGGUGAGUAACACGUGAGUAACCUGCCCUUGACUUUGGGAUAACUUCAGGAAACUGGGGCUAAUACCGGAUAGGAGCUCCUGCUUCAUGGUGGGGGUUGGAAAGUUUCGGCGGUUGGUGAUGGACUCGCGGCUUAUCAGCUUGUUGGUGGGGUAGUGGCUUACCAAGGCUUUGACGGGUAGCCGGCCUGAGAGGGUGACCGGCCACAUUGGGACUGAGAUACGGCCCAGACUCCUACGGGAGGCAGCAGUGGGGAAUAUUGCACAAUGGGCGGAAGCCUGAUGCAGCAACGCCGCGUGCGGGAUGACGGCCUUCGGGUUGUAAACCGCUUUCGCCUGUGACGAAGCGUGAGUGACGGUAAUGGGUAAAGAAGCACCGGCUAACUACGUG
rnacentral:rRNA from 1 species